CCAGCUACCUCUCUUGAGUAAUGCAGCAGCCCGGAGGCCAGCAGGCAGGGUUGGCAAGGACAUCUGAGCUCCAGGGUUGCCUGGGGAAGGAAGCAGGUUUCUGCAGAAAUCAAGAGCUGAUUCAAAACUGCUUGUGAAAAUGCAGAUGGCCAAGCAUAGCCAAGGCAAUAUUAAAGAAACACAGCAACGCUGGAGGCCUCCCACUACCAGACAUCCAGAUAUUCAUACAGCUGCCAUAACUGAGGAUGAGCUAUUUGGGAGCAUGUCCAUGCGCUGGGAUACUGACCCUGUAGAGGGGACGAGGAUGGCUUCCAAGGCAAGGUCCAAAGAGGU